UUAAAGUGGUAUUUUAAUAGUUAAUUCCUCACAUUUUGCUUAGUUAAUUCCUUAACGAAUCGAUUUUUAACUCAAUUUCUAUUUUCUUAGGUACAUUGGAGUAAAUGAUGGUGAAAUGAGCAUUAGGUCCACACUUACCUAUAAAUGGUGGAGAAAAAUGGAAAUGUACUAAAAUGUCAAUUUUACACAUUUUCCUACUCCGGCUAGGAGAAACCAAGCCAAGCAAGGAAGAAGGAGCGGACGCCUGACCAAAUGAACUCUAAAUGAGCUGAAACUUUCCAGAUCCAUUCUAGACAUCCUAAGGAUCAUUUCUUAUGAAGAGUGCCAGAGCUAGUUUUGAGUGGAAGGCCUUCAAACAGUCAGCCCAAUUUCCUGCAGAAGCAAAACUGGAAAACUGGACCCGUAAGGAGUCCAGCAGAGAUUCUGGCCCAAAGGCAUGGAAAUAAAUUCUGAAAUUUUACCAAAAUGAUCUACACUCAUGGUAGAUCAUUUCAUAUGAAGAAGUCACGAGCCAAAUCUGAAGUCCUGUUGGAGAAAUAAUUGAAGGAAUAAAGGGGCAGAAACUGAUCUAAAAACAGCUCAACACCACAUGUUCAAGUUUCCUACCCACAUGAAGAAAGCUAGAUGCUUUUCUCUUUUUCCUUGGAUAUAUUUUUCUGCUCCAAUAGAUCAUCAUCACUUCCAUACUUCUGCACCUUCAUGCCUUGCUUUCAUUUCAUCAUUACUCCAUCUUUUCCAUAUUUUACAAACCACUUUCAUUAUUUUUCUUCCAUUUAUCAUUUCACUCUUCUUUUUCUUCCCUAUAUAAACAUCUUCUCCUCUCACUCUAACCAAAUUCCUUCAUCCAUUCCAUCUUCUUUGUCUCUCCAUUUCCUUUCCAUUUUCCCACACAUUCCUUCAUCCAUUCCAUCUUCUUUGUCUCUCCAUUUCCUUUCCAUUUUCCUUUCCAACAUCCUCUAGGGCAAGCCACGAAGUUCAAGCAAGGCCAAGGAAGAGAAGAACCAAGCCGUGAGCAUCAUCAUCCAUCCUCCACCUUUGAAGCUUGCUUUCGAGUCUCAAAGGAUUCAACGUUAUUCACCCAUCUUCAUCUUCCAUCCACGGUGUGUACCCUCAAUCCCCGGAAUAGAACGAUCCCUACUUGCUUAUACUACUAAUGAUAUUUUUAGGGUUAAAUUAUGCGCUUGCUUUGAGCGUAUCAGAUGUUGGAUAGGAAUGUGAUUACUUGGACUAGCAUGAUAUCUAGUUAUUGCAGGUCUGGCAAUGUGGAUGAAGGGCCGGUAUGCUUUGUUUCGGAAAAUGCCUGAGAGGAACGUUGUUUCUUGGACAGCCAUGAUUGGUGGCUUUGCUUGGAAUGGAUUUUAUAGAGAAGCUCUAUUGUUAUUCCUUGAAUGGAAUGGGAACUAUGAAACAAGACCAAAUGGAGAGACGUUCAUUCGCUUGUAUUUGCUUGUGCUGGUAUUUGGUUGCCUCAUCUUGGAAAGCAACUACAUGCUCAGUUGAUUGUCAACAAUUGGGACCAUGUUGAUUAUGAUGGCAGGCUAUCAAAGAGCCUUAUUCACAUGCUCAGUUCAUUUUUGUAAUUGCUAGAUGGAACUUUAUUAGCAUGUGGAAUGUUAAAUCAGUGUAUCUCACAUUGUGUUGUAUUAAUCGGUGGA